rnacentral:rRNA from 1 species
GACGAACGCUGGCGGCGUGCUUAACACAUGCAAGUCGAACGGAAAGGCCCUGCUUUUGUGGGGUGCUCGAGUGGCGAACGGGUGAGUAACACGUGAGUAACCUGCCCUUGACUUUGGGAUAACUUCAGGAAACUGGGGCUAAUACCGGAUAGGAGCUCCUGCUGCAUGGUGGGGGUUGGAAAGUUUCGGCGGUUGGGGAUGGACUCGCGGCUUAUCAGCUUGUUGGUGGGGUAGUGGCUUACCAAGGCUUUGACGGGUGGCCGGCCUGAGAGGGUGACCGGCCACAUUGGGACUGAGAUACGGCCCAGACGCCUACGGGAGGCAGCAGGGGGGAAUAUUGCACAAUGGGCGGAAGCCUGAUGCAGCAACGCCGCGUGCGGGAUGACGGCCUUCGGGUUGUAAACCGCUUUCGCCUGUGACGAAGCGUGAGUGACGGUAAUGGGUAAAGAAGCACCGGCUAACUACGUG